UUGUGUCCAAGAGCGUCCACCUCGGAUGCAGAGUGAGCUGGAUGCGAAGACAUGGCUCUGCUCCAGCUUGGCUCCCGACCAGCCCGAAGCCGGCGGGCCACAGGGACGGCGAUGCUCGGGGAGCGGCGCGAGCCCCUUCGGCAGCGGGCAGGGAACAGCCCUUGCCUCCUCCUGAGGCUCCGGAUCGGGAAUCAGCGCCGGCUUGGUUAAUUCAUUAGUUUUGAUGAGCAGCUUAGCAGCGCGGAUCGGUUAAGCGGCUCCCUCCCACCGCUCAGCUGACGGGAUGGGUUCGGCUCCACUAUCCGUAUCGGCAGAGCAGAGAGAAGGACCUGGAAGGCAGCACACGGACUGGGAAACAGUUUGAUGAAGAAGCAAAACCGAGCCCGAUCGAAACAGCUGCCUCCAUAAAGCACGGGGACGUGGAGCACCCCGCAGCUCCGGGAGGGCUGGGUGCCGAGGGCAGAGCCAGCGGGUGCCUGGCGGCUGGGGCUCCCCGCGGACACGAGCCCAGACCGGGAGGUCCACCUACCUCCGGAGCCGCAUGGCUCAGAUCAGGCCGGGGGGUUAUAUCUCAUUUCCCCGAUCCUGUCCAUGCGGAUGACUCUGCCAGCGCAUCCUUCUCCCCACGUGGGCUGCAUCUUCCUCCAGACGUAGGUUCCUCUGCAGCCUGUGUUUGGUAGUUGGUUAAAUUAGCUCAGGAAUAACCUGUUCGUGAUGAUGACGUGUUAUAGUGACCUUUAGUUUUCCAAAAAUAAAUAAAUAUAUAUAUGUGUGUGUGUGUUUUGCAGUUAUGAAUGCAAUUCCGCAAUCCACUUAGGAGUCGGUAAUUUUCUGGCUAAGGUGGGAAGUUGCUGACAUCUUGUGAUAUACGACUAGAUUGAUUGUAUUUACUUACCCUUUAACCUAAUAAAGGAAAAUAAUGUUCCUUA